rnacentral:rRNA from 1 species
AGGUAAGCUACUAAGAGCGAAUGGUGGAUGCCUUGACUGGUAAAGGCGAUGAAGGACGUACUAGACUGCGAUAAGCUACGGGGAGCUGUCAAGAAGCUUUGAUCCGUAGAUUUCCGAAUGGGGCAACCCAAUGUAUAGAGAUAUACAUUACCUAUAUAGGAGCGAACGAGGGGAAUUGAAACAUCUUAGUACCCUCAGGAAAAGAAAUCAAUAGAGAUUGCGUCAGUAGCGGCGAGCGAAAGCGCAAGAGGGCAAACCCAGUGCUUGCACUGGGGGUUGUAGGACUGCAAUGUGCAAGAGGUAAGUUUAGCAGAACAUUCUGGAAAGUAUAGCCAUAGAGGGUGAUAGUCCCGUAUGCGAAAAACAAACCUUAGCUAGCAGUAUCCUGAGUAGGGCGGGACACGAGAAAUCCUGUCUGAAGCUGGGUCGACCACGAUCCAACCCUAAAUACUAAUACCAGAUCGAUAGUGCACAAGUACCGUGAGGGAAAGGUGAAAAGAACUGAGGUGAUCAGAGUGAAAUAGAACCUGAAACCAUUUGCUUACAAUCAUUCAGAGCCCUAUGUAGCAAUACAGGGUGAUGGACUGCCUUUUGCAUAAUGAGCCUGCGAGUUGUGGUGUCUGGCAAGGUUAAGCAAACGCGAAGCCGUAGCGAAAGCGAGUCUGAAUAGGGCGCUUAGUCAGAUGCUGCAGACCCGAAACGAAGUGAUCUAUCCAUGAGCAAGUUGAAGCUAGUGUAAGAACUAGUGGAGGACUGAACCCAUAGGCGUUGAAAAGCCCCGGGAUGACUUGUGGAUAGGGGUGAAAGGCCAAUCAAACUUCGUGAUAGCUGGUUCUCUCCGAAAUAUAUUUAGGUAUAGCGUUGUGUCGUAAUAUAAGGGGGUAGAGCACUGAAUGGGCUAGGGCAUACACCAAUGUACCAAACCCUAUCAAACUCCGAAUACCUUAUAUGUAAUCACAGCAGUCAGGCGGCGAGUGAUAAAAUCCGUCGUCAAGAGGGAAACAACCCAGACUACCAGCUAAGGUCCCUAAAUCUUACUUAAGUGGAAAACGAUGUGAAGUUACUUAAACAACCAGGAGGUUGGCUUAGAAGCAGCCAUCCUUUAAAGAAAGCGUAAUAGCUCACUGGUCUAGUGAUUUUGCGCGGAAAAUAUAACGGGGCUAAAGUAAGUACCGAAGCUGUAGACUUGCGCACAACUUAGAUUAUUUAAGUUUAGAAUAUGAGAAACUAAGUUAUAUGUUUAGUUAUAUUUUUACUGAU